rnacentral:tRNA from 1 species
GCCGCGGUGGCGAAACAGGUAUACGCGCAGGACUUAAAAUUCUGUGAUCUUAAUCGAUCGUGUGGGUUCGAUUCCCUCCCGCGGCA